AUAUCUCUCUGUACGGGAAGGAUGAGAAGCUUCGACUAAGGUUCGAUUCGAGCGAAAGCGAGAAAGCGUUGCCGCAGG
rnacentral:sRNA from 1 species